UACGUAUGGGGCAAGCGUUAUCCGGAUUUACUGGGUGUAAAGUGAGCGUAGGCGGCCUGGCAAGCCUGAUGUGAAAUACCGGGGCCCAACCCCGGGGCUGCAUUGGGAACUGCCAGGCUGGAGUGCCGGAGAGGCAGGCGGAAUUCCUAGUGUAGCGGUGAAAUGCGUAGAUAUUAGGAGGAACACCAGUGGCGAAGGCGGCCUGCUGGACGGUGACUGACGCUGAGGCUCGAAAGCGUGGGGAGCAAACAGG
rnacentral:rRNA from 1 species